CAGGUACAGCGGGAAGCCACCUGGCGACAGGGCGCGGAACCCGAAAACCUGUCUCAGUUCGGAUUGGAGUCUGCAACCCGACUCCAUGAAGCUGGAUUCGCUAGUAAUCGCGCAUCAGCCACGGCGCGGUGAAUACGUUCCCGGGCCUUGUACACACCGCCCGUCAAGCCAUGGAAGCCGGGAGUGCCUGAAGUGCGUGACCGCAAGGAGCGUCCUAAGGCAAUACCGGUGACUGGGGCUAAGUCGUAACAAGGUAUC
rnacentral:rRNA from 1 species